rnacentral:rRNA from 1 species
UACGGAGGGUGCAAGCGUUAUCCGGAUUCACUGGGUUUAAAGGGUGCGUAGGUGGGAAUGUAAGUCAGUGGUGAAAUCCCCGUGCUUAACAUGGAAACUGCCAUUGAUACUAUGUUUCUUGAAUUUUCUGGAGGUCAGCGGAAUAUGUCAUGUAGCGGUGAAAUGCUUAGAUAUGACAUAGAACACCAAAUUGCGAAGGCAGCUGGCUACAGGGAUAUUGACACUGAGGCACGAAAGCGUGGGGAUCAAACAGG